rnacentral:tRNA from 1 species
GGGGCAAUGGCUUAGGGGUAGAUCAUCUGCUGUGAACGCAGGUCCAGGUUUAACCCCUGGUUUCUCCA